rnacentral:rRNA from 1 species
GACGAACGCUGGCGGCGUGCUUAACACAUGCCAGUCGAACGGAAAGGCCCUGCUUUUGUGGGGUGCUCGAGUGGCGAACGGGUGAGUAACACGUGAGUAACCUGCCCUUGACUUUGGGAUAACUUCAGGAAACUGGGGCUAAUACCGGAUAGGAGCUCCUGCUGCAUGGUGGGGGUUGGAAAGUUUCGGCGGUUGUGGAUGGACUCGCGGCUUAUCAGCUUGUUGGGGGGGUAGUGGCUUACCAAGGCUUUGACGGGUAGCCGGCCUGAGAGGGUGACCGGGCACAUUGGGACUGAGAUACGGCCCAGACUCCUACGGGAGGCAGCAGUGGGAAAUAUGGCGCAAUGAGGGGGAGCCUGAUGCAGCAGCGCCGCGUGCGGGAUGACGGCCUUCGGGGGGUAAACCGCUUUCGCCUGUGACGAAGCGUGAGUGACGGUAAUGAGUAAGAAAGCAACGGCUAACUACGUG